CUGCUUAAAAUUAUUUUUGGGCUGACGAGACCAAAUUAGAAGUUUGUUCUUACAAGGAAUCGCCAUUAUGUCUCAAAUGAUAUAUGGAUAACCUGAUUAAACGAUGAAAAGACGUCUAAGAACGGACAAUCAGCAUUUAAAUAUGUUCGUAAAGUGCCACAUUUCAUGCAAACAGUAGUGAUUUAAAACAGAGUGUUGAGAAUAAAAUACACAAACUUUUGAGAGGCAAUGCAGAGCUAUUGACUUCGACCUAAUUUUUGGAAGUUUAAAUUUCAGGCUGUUUGUAAAGUCAGAUUCUCAUAUGAAGAAAGAAUAUCAAAGUAGAAUUACAAUGCGUGUUCGUAGGCGGGAUAUCUCUAGCAUACACUAUCCGACCAUCCCCCAGGACUUUAAAGUCUAUUUCAGAUGAAAAAUGAAGAGUUAUGCACCUUGUAAUAGAGGUAUAUGAGAAAUUUU